AGUGAACGCUGGCGGUAGGCCUAACACAUGCAAGUCGAACGGCAGCACAGUAAGAGCUUGCUCUUACGGGUGGCGAGUGGCGGACGGGUGAGGAAUACAUCGGAAUCUACUUUUUCGUGGGGGAUAACGUAGGGAAACUUACGCUAAUACCGCAUACGACCUACGGGUGAAAGCAGGGGAUCUUCGGACCUUGCGCGAUUGAAUGAGCCGAUGUCGGAUUAGCUAGUUGGCGGGGUAAAGGCCCACCAAGGCGACGAUCCGUAGCUGGUCUGAGAGGAUGAUCAGCCACACUGGAACUGAGACACGGUCCAGACUCCUACGGGAGGCAGCAGUGGGGAAUAUUGGACAAUGGGCGCAAGCCUGAUCCAGCCAUACCGCGUGGGUGAAGAAGGCCGUCGGGUUGUAAAGCCCUUUUGUUGGGAAAGAAAAGCAGCAGGUUAAUACCCCGCUGUUCUGACGGUACCCAAAGAAUAAGCACCGGCUAACUU
rnacentral:rRNA from 1 species